AAAAAGUAUAUUUUAUGGUUGUUGUCAAUUUAAACUACAAAGAGAGUGCUUUGAUGAUCAAAGUAAAAGGAAUGCUUGUCAAAUACCCAUUCAAGUUCUGGCAGCAAACUCAUGUAUGCAUAUUAACAGUAGCAUCAUACUGACCCUGAACUGCCCGAUCUGCAAAAGCAAAGUAAGAGUGAGAGUGGGUGUUUGCUCGGGACCGAGUACCA